UACGUAGGGGCUAGCGUUGUCCGGAAUCAUUGGGCGUAAAGAGCGUGUAGGCGGCCCGGUAAGUCCGCUGUGAAAGUCGGGGGCUCAACCCUCGAAUGCCGGUGGAUACUGUCGAGCUCGAGUCCGGAAGAGGAGUGUGGAAUUCCUGGUGUAGCGGUGAAAUGCGCAGAUAUCAGGAGGAACACCAAUGGCGAAGGCAGCACUCUGGGACGUGACUGACGCUGAGACGCGAAAGCGUGGGGAGCAAACAGG
rnacentral:rRNA from 1 species